AGGCAGAUGACUCAUCCUCUGGACUGAGGGCUGCUGAAGAGCUGGGCAGUGAUCUCUUUACAUGCUUGUGGGAGAAAAAGCAGAGAUACUGAAAGGCUGCACUCAGGUCUCCCCACAGCCGUCUCUUCUCCAGCCCCAGCUCUCUCAGCUUGUCCUCAUAGGAGAAAUGUUCCAUCGGUUGGAUAAUUUUUGUGGCCCUCCUCUGGAUGCACUCCAACAGAUCCAUGACUCUCCUGUAAUGAGGACUCCAUAUCUGAACACAGUACUCCAGAUGAAUAAGCAAAGUACAAUGUGGUUUGUUCGUGGAUUAAACAAUUCAGCGUUUUGGACCUACUCCUGAAUUACAUUGCUGCUCUGGGUGGUGUUUUGAUCCUCAGAAGAUCAUGGACUACUCACUGUCUGCAUUGCUCUCAGAGAUGGGAGAACUGGAGGAUCAGGGAGGUGAAGCUGUCUGCUCAGAGCUAUACAGGAGGCCAGUGACAAAUCCAGGAAUCCAAGCCAAGGCUCCUAAGUUGCAUUCUAAUUCUCUAAUCAGCACAGAAGUUUGCCUUCUGGUAUUGCAAUGAGAUAAUGCAUCCAGGCUCUGGCUGAGAAAAUAGGGCUUCCCAGCAAGAGCACAGUGGUCUAAGGUUCAACAGUGUUGGGAGCCUGGCAAAGGAUGAACCCCCAGGCACAGCAGCAGUGGUUGCGUGACGGGAGAAACAAACACUCUUCUUGCAUCACUCGUGCCAGGAGUCUGAGGAGGAGGAAGGAGCAGGAGGACUCCUACAGAGAACAGGGACUGGUUUGUCUCUUUAGAAGGGAGCAGUGGUAUUCUGAACAUUUUUACCAAAUACCAGGGUGUGUGAUAGUAUUUUACGGAUGGGGAAUGAUAUGACUGAAAGAUUGUGAGAUGGGAAAGAAUUAUAGGAAGCCAUGGAGAGCUGCAACCUAAGUACCCUGAAAUCUGCGACCAAGCCCCAAGGAUACCUCUUGUUAUUGCAGCCACCUCCAAUAACUGCUGCUUUUUAUAUAAUUUACUAGCUGUGUUGAGCUCCCCAAGACUGAAUGGGGAAAGAUGAGCCUUUCAGUGAUUUUAGUCCAGAGGAAGACUCCCAAGUGGUUCUGGGUAGUGAAAUGUUUGGUUCGUGGAAUAAGUGACAGAAUUCCUAUUUAAAAAGCAAAAAAGAUGGUGUAAAUUUGCACCUGGGAGGUAGUGCAUGUUUUGAAAAAGGCAAUUCAAGAAAUAAUGGUGGUGUCUAAAUUCUGUGAUCUGCAAUUUAAGGUUUUAUAAAUAGCUCAUCUUUAUGCUGGGACAUGAAACAUAUGAUUAAAAUAAUGACUGUAAACACAGACCGAUGCAAACAUUAUCUAGAUCAUAUGUGUAAAUAUUAAAGAAAUUGUUCAAUUUCUAGUGAUAACCAAAAACACUUAAAAAAUUUACCCUCCUUCCCCCAAAUUCUUAAGAGCUAAUUUGACUAUUCAUUUUUUUUUUUUAGCUAUUUGCAGUCGUGUUACAUUUUGCUGAGGAACAAUUUAGCUUUCCUGUUGUUUGCAUAAGAGUCCCCGAGUCCUGGUCCCAAAUGGCAGCUGUGUGUUCGUGGUCACCCCACGGCAAUGUUUGUGAGGAAUGUAUACAGUGGCAGUGCCUCUUCCAGAGAGCACAGGGAGGAAAAUAGCAUGUGGCCAACCCACACGUAAUUUGUUCUCCUUAGUGGAGGUCUCACAUGUACAGCACUUAAAUGGCACUUCUUGUUUCUGGGUAAGAUGAAGGUAACCGAUAGAAACCAUUCAAAAGCUUCUUGGGCUGUUGCUUAUGUUCCCUGCAAAGGGCUGAAGAGAACAGCUCUUUGGAGACGUGGCUUUACAUUGAACAUACGCAGGGCUGUGUCAUUAUUAAUUCUGCAAAUGUGUUUACAAUGGUUAGGUAAAAUAUUUAGUUACUAUUUAAAUAUUUUGAUGUAUUAUAGCUCAUACCCGAAUUUUAGAUGUCUACUGCACUUAACAUUUCCAAUUUAAAUAACCAGUUUCAUUAAGGUUUUUAGUGAUACAAAUUAAUAACAAAAGGCAGUUAAUGCAGAGUACGGUUAUGAGACCAAAAUACAUGUGGUUUAAAUUUAAAGAAUUAAAUGUUAGCAUUUCCCUAUAGAGAAAGGUUAUUUGGGCAGUGGUGUACUGACAUUAUCACCACCCACGGAGAAGGGGACCUGUUGAUCCUAUUGGUUAAGUACAAAUUGAGAAACGGAAGAAAUGUUGGUCUAGAGGGUUUGCUUGGCGUGAGUGAAUCACACAGGAAAAAUGCUGAUACCUAGAGUAGCUCAGUGACCUUCUUUGAUGGUUAGAAAGAGAAAUAAGCACACAAGGUUUCUGUCAAAGUCAGAAGGUUUAGGUUGCUUGCUGGCUAAAAUGGGCCCAGGUUAUUAAUAUAGUGGAAAGUUAAAUGAUGAGCAUGGAAGUAUGAUAAUAAGCGCUGUUGUAAAUGAGACAGAAAUGAUUUUCUGUGGCCAGUAAGAACGAUAAUCCAACGUGUUAACCAUUGGGCUCGAGGGCUGCUAAGAAAAUAAAUGUGCAAAGUGGAUAAAAUAAAGGCUGAAAGUAUGUUUAAGUAGGUGUUUCUUCAAAGCUUUCUUCAGGAGGGUGUUUCUGGACACUCUGCCCUACUGCUUUUGGCAAGACGUGUCUGUUAUAAUAAAGGGCUUCCUGCAUAGAGGUGACAUCAGGAUCUGUCUGAUUCCUAGUUAUCCCCUUUGGAGCUUUCAGCAGUAUCAGAUGGUAGGAGCAGAAAUGUUCUUAGCACUGCUUGGAAAACACCCUCAGCCCAUGAUCUUCAUUGGAACACUCCUCUGUCAGAGCAAGAGCUGGAGAGGAUGGCACAUGAGAGGCAUACGUGGGGAAAAAAUCUAUUUUCUUUUUUUAAUUCAGCACUUUGACCUGAAACAUCCAGGUGAGCUGUGCAAAGAGCUGCUUGCAGAGUAGAUUGCUGCAAGGUAGGAGUAGAGGCUCUGCUUAAGUGAAAAUCUGCCUCAGUCUACAAAACAAUCCCACCACAAAAUAAAAUUAAAAGUAAUGAGAUUUUCCACUGUUAACUUAAUAGCAGCAAACCACAUGUUCUAAACAAUGUUAAUUUUUUUUUUUUUUUUUUUUUUUUUGUGUAAGGACUCAUUUUUAGUAACAAACCCCAGACUAUUAGCCCUGCCAUUUUUCCACUGCUGGAAGAAGACGUGGACUCUUGCUGAGUUUGUACGGUGAAUAUCUCAGAGAUGUUUGAAUCUGCCACCAGUAAAAGGCCUCUAAAUGUGCUCACAUGGAGGAACCAGCUCAAGCACUGGACCACAGCCUCACUGGAAGCAGCUGAUCUACCUAUUUUAUUUCGCUUCUUAAUCAGUUUCUUCCAAGGAUAAUGAGCUCCCUGAAGAUGUCAGUUUCCCUUGGCCAAGCCCUGAAGCUCCCAGAUAUCCUCACUGCACCAGGAAAUGCCAGAGGGGUGAGAUGGCUGAGAAACCGUCCCCAACACCUUCCCUGUGCCUGCCCCUCUUUGGGGCUUCUGGCAGGGGGAGAGGAAAGAAGGGCAAAUUUGUUCCCACAGGUGAUGUGAAAAAAACCAAAAAUAAUCAGACAAGGAUUUUUUAAACAACCUGCUCCUUUUUCGACCUUUCCGCAAUUCUUACAAGCCUAGAAAAAUCCCCUUCAAUGUGAUACUAAUACUGCAAGAAAUCCUGUUCUCUUUUUCAUCAGGUGAUGCUACAUGCCUUAGAACUAUUGUUUCCAUGUCCUGCUUCAAAGCUUCUUCAUAGAAUCCUAGAAUCACAGAGUGAUUUGGGUUGGAAGGUACCUUUAAGCCCAUCCAGUUCCAAUGCAUUGCUGUGGGCAGUGCUGUCACUCACCAGGUCACGCACUAGUUCAGGUCAGGUCGCUUCACCUUCACCAGCUUCGCCACCAUCGCUGCCCCUUGAUUUGGAGUUUGAGUGCUGACACUGGUAAUGAAGACUUGAAGAUUCAGAUUUUAAUCAGAAUGAGCAAAGUACAUGGACCUGCUUAAAAACUAAGUAUGAUGUUUAAGCUCAAAAACAGUCUGUUUAAAGUUAUUUGCAUGUUGAUAUAAUACACAACUGAAAAAAACCACUUCAUGUUGAAAAAUAGUGCCUUCUCACCAGCACGAUUGAAAUGGAGAUUCUGCUCAGAAAGUCAAAAACAGACCAGAAAUGACCCCACAACAAUGUGUGGAGAGCUCUACUAGAAAGUCAGAAAUACCUAAACACAAGGCUGAUGGAAUUGCAGUGAGGAGAUGCAUUCCUGAAGGCUCAUGUUCCUGACACCGGGCAGGUAGAAGAUGGACUCUGGCUGCAGAGGCGGUUGAAAGAUUCCCUCCCUUGAUAGGCUGAUGAAACUGGAAAUAUUUGGUUCUGAAAUAUUUGGGACUGCUCACCUGAAGAAGAGGAGGCUCAGGGGGAUCUCACCAAUGCCCAUAAAUCCCUGAGGGAGGGUGCCAAGAGGCUGGAGCCAGGCUCUGCCAGUGGUGCCCAGUGCCAGGACCAGAGGAUGUGGGCACAAACUGGAGCACAGGCAGUUCCCUCUGAACACCAGGAGCACUGCUGUGCUGUGCAGUGAUGGAGCACUGGCACAGGCUGCCCAGAGGCUGUGGGUUCUGCAGUUUUUGGUAAUCAGAACUGAAGGGUGUUUUCCUUACCCAAUGCAUAACAAGAAGAUUUAUGGAAGGAUUAACAGUGUCCUUGACAAAUGCAGAAAUCACAAACACACACGCAGCUUUAGCACAAAAAACAUUAGCAAAGGUUUGCAUGCCGACACGGGUGCUAUAUACUGCAGCCCCAGGGCUGGGGAAGGACAAGGGCACAACCACCAGAUGCAGCCUGCUGCCCUGCAGCCCCGCAGGAGGCAGAUGGGUCCUGCAGAGCCCUGCAGAGCACAGCAUGCCCGAGGACGGCUCUCACCAGCAGUAGGACGGGCGCUUUCCACGGCAGCCAGGACAGCUGUGGAGUGUGCAGACAGACACACACCCACAAUGUCUGCAAUGCACACAGCUGCUGCCUGGCUGCCUCACAAAGGUGCCUGCGCAGCAGCACAUGGUCCGGCUGCGAUGCAGGCUGUGAGCAGCGGGCGGGCUAUAUUUUACAAGUCAAUUUUCGGCCCCGCUUGCAAGCACAGGCACGCUUUUAUGGCAUCUAGAGCAUUUCGCUGAAUGGUUUGGUAGUACGCUACUGACCAGACAGCACGCUUCCACAUUUAGCUUAGCAGAGGCAAAUAGCAAGUGGUGGGUUCAAGUGCGGGUCAGGGGAUGCGUUACACCCCGUGAGCACUGGAGCUUGGCUCCCCCGGGACCAGUGCUGGAAGCUGUGCUCAACAGAGAUGGCCCAAGGUGUUUGCUUUUAUGAUUACCAGUGCCAUUUGCUCGGGGAGAGUGCUGUUAUCACAUUGUAAACAUCGUUUUAGUAUCGCAGGAUCUGUGCGGUUGGUGUUUGGGCUUCAAAGGAGAACAGACAGUGCUUGUUCUCUCCUGCUCUCAAGCAGCAUUUUAGCAGUUAGCAUUUUGGUUUUCAGGAAGAAUAAACAGGGUAGGGAGGUGGGAGGAUAUUCUGGGUCUGAUGGUGGAUUUGCUCUUCAAUACGUGUUAAUGUCAGUGAGCCCAGCUUGGAGGAGGAAGCAAAGCUGGAACCCAGACCAUGAACAACAUAACGGGUGCUGAUGGUCAUGCUAUGGAUACAGCUGAAAACCUAAAUACUGCGACAUAACAUCACCAUGGAGCAUGUACAGGCAGCACUUAAACACCCCAUCUGUCAGAAAUCCUGCAUUACAAACAGCAGAACCAGCUCACUGCACCUCUCGUAGCCACCACCUGGGGGUCAGUGGGGGAGAUUUCACAGAAUCAUGGAAUCAUUUGAAUUGGAAGCAACCCCCUAAAGGCCAUCUGGCCCAACUCAUCUGCAACAAGCAGGGACACCUACAGCUCAGUCAGGUGCUCAGAGCCCUGUCCGGCCUGACCUUGGGUGUCUCUAGGGAUGGGGCAUCCAUCCCCUCUCUCAGCAAAAGAUGAGCUGAAAAAACAGCAGAUCCCGAUAAUCAUCUUCAGUGACUGCAGUCUGGCUUUGAGGGCUGCAAUAUUCUCAGAUUAAGUUCUGUUUGAUUGAACUCCAGGUCACUUUUCACAUGGAAAUAUUUUCCUUUAACACAAACCAAGAGCCCCCUCUCUCCCUUCCUCAGUGCUAAUCAUGAUCACCAAAACAACAUCACAAGAGAAAGCUGCUUACCUUCUCGUGGCUGUAAGAAAGCUUUUUUCCAGACUUGUUGAGUGAGCUGCUUGUGCGAGCACCAUGUUUGCUGAGUAAGAUCUGGCCUGUGUAGGAGUGAGGCAUUAGUAAUGCACCCGUGGUUACAGUUCUGCUCUCUCAGGGCUCUCCCACAUUUUUGCGUGCGAUGGUAUUUGUAAUACUGCUGUGCUCCUGGGUGUUGCUAAAGGUGGGUUUGGGGAAGGUGGUCCACAUCUGGGGACAUCUCUGCCCGGGGGGUUGGAUGAGGAUCACAUCUGACUGGUGCUGGGGAGAUUUCAGGUGGUACCCAGGGUGCUCUCCUGACCCAAAUACCUGAUAAGUAUAAAACGUGAUAAAACACAUGGACACCAGAACAGUGAGUGCAGUAAUGCUCAUUUGUGGAAUCUGCCUCCUUGGGGAUCUCCCAGAGCCGCCUGGCAUGGCCCUGGGCACCCUGCUCCGGGUGUCCCUGCUGGGGCAGGGGCUGGAGCAGAGGGACCCAGAGGGCCCUGCCAGCCUCAGCCAUGCUGUGAUCUGUGAUUUUCUCAUUUCAGUUUUCUUUUUUUCACGACAGUCCAAAUCCCAGAUUCCUGCCUUAGCCCUUACUCAGAUAGACCUCAGACAUGGACCUGUUCCCCUCUGGAACUCUCUAGGUUCCUCUCUCUCUAGGUUUCAACCUAGAAUAUACAAAACAACACCAAAAUAAAGGCUCCUUGAGUGACACCCCUUUCAUUUAGCUUAGUUCCUGUAUGACACAGGCACAUCUGACCGCAUGGAGCAAGUAGGGCAGGUGCUGCUCAUUCAGAAGGCAUUUGUGCUGGGCCCAUGCUGACCCCUGGAUCCAAGGACCAGGCUGUGAUGAGAUAUGGGGGGAGAAGGGGUAAAAGAAGUGUUUUUGUUUGCCCCUUCUGAAAUGAGCAUCUGGAUCCUGCCCAUGAUCAGGCAUAGGUGUCAUGGUGCUGCAGGUGCAGGUGCAUUUGCAAGCAGCCUUAAUUUGAACAUGAGAACUCUGAGCUGGGAGGAACAAGGUCUGGCUAAAAGAGGGAAGGAAGAGGAGGAAGGUCUGUGCUAAGCGUGCUUGAAGGAUUGGAGCUCCUUUGUCCAAGUGUGGCCUACAGCUGAGCACCUUCCCACCACCUUCCUGCUGCAGCACGUGGCAUGCUGCUGCAUAGAGCUGGGAAGCACGAGGAGAAGUCACGCCAGAAAGCCUGCUGCUUUGAAUGAAUACAUUCAGACAAAUGCCUCCAAUGCACAACCAACAGGAAUAGAUAGAACUGGGUGCAUUUCUGUGUAGUCUGGUCCUUCUGUGCCCCCUGUUUGCUGCCUAGGGAGUAGUGACUCCUGCUGCUGAGCAGAAUCUGAAGAGCAUCCCGUUCCAGAAGACCUGAUGGCUAAGCUUAUCACAGGGCAACGCUUCUCCUAAUCUGCAGUAUUUAACCACUUGCUCUAAAUUGAAUAUUUUGUUCUGCCUCAUUGCUUUAGGUUAAUUGUUGUGUUAUUAAACAAAGAUCUAAUCCAAGCCUGACUGAGCUCCCAAGUCUCUGCAGUGGCAGUGGGUGAAAGAAUGAUAGAGCAUUGACUUUGAACAACCAGGAACGUACAUCUCUUCCAGUUAGGGCUUUGUCUUCUUAUGGCUUUGUAAACUAUCCUUCAUCUCUGUUUUGAUUUGCAGCUUUCCUCACAGUAUACAAGACUUCAAGAAGGAGAUCCACUGUCUUUAGGAGAGUUGUUAUAUGUCUGCAAGUGGCAAAAUCAGCCAUAAAAUACACAUGAUCAGACAACUACCAUUACUGUUAAAGAUAUGCAAGUAACUUAGAUUGUGCAUUUUAACCUCAUUAAAUACUAUAAUUCAUUCAACUUUAUUUAAAUCCUCCACUGUGUUAAUACAUAAAAAACAAAUAGCAAAUCUAUUGUUUACUGCUACUCCCCAUUACGACAGCUUUUAUGUCUGGUUCUGUUAUUAGUACGAGGUCUAUUUUCAGCGAGAAUUCUUCAAAUGUGAAAACAUGACUAAAGCGCAGUAAACGACAAGUCAAGCAACCACACUGAAGGAAUGCAAAAAGUGCUCUGGCAAAUUGUUAUCUUCAGGGUGGUAUCUUUGCUCUCUAUAUUUACACAAAUACACAGAAAGAUAUUAUAUAUUAAUUACACAGGAAAAUGUUACUCAUCUCUGUAGAAAAACAGGAUAGAGAUUUCGCAUGUGGCUCAGCUCUGGGACAACGUGAUAUUUGUGUCGGUGCUGUUUUCAAGAUGCAAUUUAUCUAACACUGGAAAAGGGUAUGGUUUGGCUGACUAAACUCUGGAGUGAUGUUGAAUGAUAAAAGUGCAAAGGGGAAUUUUUGGGGCGUCUAAAAGACAACGUAUAAGACUCCGUAGGUGUAAAAAAACCAAAGAGAGUUUUUUCUGGUGGUUGCUUGAAAAGCUCACUGACAUUUUGUGACACCGACUAACCUCCCCCCAUACCUUCAACCCCUCUUGCAGAAUGUAGCUGCCUAACAACUAAAUACAAAGUCGCUCAUACUCAGGCACUGCUUUGGCUUGCAUCAUCCCUCUUUUAAAUUUUUGCCGUACACUUAGUGCCCUGAACUCACCCAUGCUUUAGCUCACAGAGGCACGACUGAGAAGAAGGGCAGGCACACAACCCCACAGCUCAGCUGGAGUGUGCACUGCUAGCUAUCUGCAAAAUAAACAUGCAGAUAUUUGGGAGCUGGGGCAAACUUACUGGAUGCCCAGGGAGGUGGUGGAUACCCCAUCCCUGGAGGUGUUCAAGGCCAGGUUGGAUGGGCCCUCGGCAGCCUGAUCAGGUAUGUGGUGGGGGACUAUAACACUUUAAAGUAUUUAAGGUUCCUCCUAACCCAAGCCGUUCUGUGAUUCUAUGAUUCUACACUAUUUUCAAAUGCUGGGAAGGCUGCUGACCCCACUUGUGGCACUGAGGGACAUGGUUAGUGGGCAUGGUGGUGAUGGGUUGAUGGUUGGACUAGGUGAUCUUAGUGGUCUUUUCCAACCUUAAUGGUUCUGUGAUUCUGUGGGUCUGAUUCCACCUGCCCUGGAUGAGGGAUGUCUCCUUUGUUGCAGGAACCUGCUGAGCUGAGUGGCUUCUGAGCUAAGAAGGACCCAGUGCUCAGAAAUGUGGAAAUGGAGGUCAGUGAGUUGGCUGGGAUGGAAGAAGUACUCUGCAGGACAGAUUUGCAUCAGAAGAAGCACAUUUAACAUGAUGCUGAUGGACAGGUCUGGGUGGUAAUGGAUGGGCCUGGUUGGUAUUCUCCACUUGCCGGGGCGCUGGUUCCUCUCCCAGGUGUGAAAGAGAGCAGAGGCCUGCACAGUUGGAAGGCUCUGAGCAGGGUUCACCCCAUCCAACUCAUGGGCCAGCUGGUGGGGUGAAGGAUAUGUCUGUGGAGGUGGAUUUGAGUCUUCAAGGGGCUAUUGGAAUUUUUCUCUGCAUGUGCCUUUUGGUUUUGGCUCAACAAGCAGCCUGGCGUGAGCAGGGCUUGCUGCUCUUACCUCCCCAGUGUAACCAGGGUUGAAACGCCCAAUCUGACCCAAGCUGCUGCUGUCUACAGAUGUACACACUGACAGUUGGCAGCUUUUGGUCUUGGGGGAGGUAAGUACCUCCAAGUCUUCUCCUCCAGGCGUAGCCCCUGGUGGGACAUCAUCCCUGUUGCAUCUCUACCUGUCACUGUUUGAUGGUCUUGUUUCAUGGGGAAUGGAGAAAUCCUAGCACCCAUUAGGUUGAAGAGCACAAGGGUAGCUUGUUUUCUGUGGUACACAGCCUGGCUUUCCUGUCCUCUGAGGCUGGAUCUUCAUUUCAUGUCUUCAGAGCAAAGACAUGAUUGCUGAUCAGAUGAAGUCAAAGAAGGAUAUCUUCAGACGGAGGAAGAAGUAAAAACUAUGAGACAGGAACAGAAAGGCAUGGAAAAUUCCCAGAGCUGACCUUCGGAUCCAAUGGCUAGUCUUGCUCCCAACAUUUGUCCCCAGAUCAAAGCAAGGGCUUUAGGACUCAACAGACACCAUCCUGCGUGCAGAGGGCUGAGUGUUUUUUCUCCUUUACGUUAAAACCUCACUGAGGUUGCCAGCCUGGUGUGGGUGGCAAAGCUUUCAGAUAUUGAUUUUCAGUCUGCCAUUCUUUAAAGCAAAAACACUCCUUUCAUGUCACCAGGCACUGUAUCAGAGCCCACAGUGGCUCACAGGGUGUUUCUGAGCAUCAUCACAAUGAAGACAAUAGAACAUCCUGUGAAGUAACAGCCUCAGCAAAACACCACAAGAGAAAAUUGUGAAAAACACAGUUCUCUGUUCCCUUUUUUACACAGGCUUCUGGUUAGAAGUGCAGACACACUGGCUCUGAAAUCGCUUUCUCUUGUGAUUUGGCUUCUUUUUAAGCCUCAAACCAUGUAAAGCUCCACUCCUCUCCCUCAAACCCUGUUGCAGCUUGAUGUGGGAGAACGUAGGCUUUUUUCCUACUGCUUUCAGUCACUGUCUGACAUGUUCUGAAUGUGCCUUGAUGUGUCCGCUGCUUUUAAUAUUGCUGGCUAACACAAAGCACUCGAUUUGUUCCUUCUUACUGACACACAUAAUUUGUGUUUCUGUAGAGAAAUAUUGCUCUAUUUUUCAGGGAUUUCUCUUAAAUGGGUGAGCAAUGUAGCAAGCUCCAUAGAGCUAUUGUUUUGUGCUUAGUCACUGAGUUUUCUUAUGGCAUUCUAUUCCUAUAGACUGGGGUGCCUUGCAUGCAAAAGAUUAUAUUAAUAGAACCCUACGCUUGUGAGAGGAAGACUUGUUCUUGCAAUUGCUGCUUUGAAGCCGAUGGAAACUCUUUAUUUUCUUAAAUUUGUUAGUGACUGUCUUCAGUGUGCUAUGGGACGCUGUGCUGCUGGAAGCAUGAGCUCGGGAACGGGAUGUGGCAUUGAGGUGCAGCAGCCUGCAGGAAGAUGACGCUUCUGGCCAUUUUUGGUGAGAGGCAUUGUGCCCACACCAGACUAGGAACAGUCUAAGUGCAGCUUCUCAACAUUGUCAGGCACUUGCAACAUCCCUUGUGGCUCCCUGGUCUAAGUCCAUGCCCUGCCUUGAUAUAUUUGGGGGUUAUCUCAUCUCCCUCAAUGCUGGCUGAACUCUGCUUGUGGGUGAAACAAUUCCUUUAAUGUCUCCUGAGUUCGUGGUUGCAACAAUAUCAUAGCAUCUUUUGGGAUGGUCGAUGCUCUAUGAAGAGAGUGUUCUACCAGCAGCUCAGAGUAGGCAUUGGCCAGUUACACUGCUCACUCAUACAGAACUUUGCUGGGGUAUCAGUAUGAAAACAGGAAACGAUGUGGGAAAUGUUAAUAAAACUUGACAACAACAGCUCAAAAAGGUGUUUGAUCCACUGUUUAAGUGUACAUAACUAUUACAGGAUGAGGAAACAGGAAAUAUGCUGAGGGGGAGGAGAUGAGAACAGAGAACUGUAAAAAGAAUAAAAAGACUGAACUCAAAAAAUUCCAAGUCACCCUUUCCAAAGUCAGCUGGAGUGCACGAGAUGCUGGUCAGAGCAUGCAGCUCCUCACCCAGGUGUAACGUGUGUGAACUGCAAGGAGCUGGAACUGAGAUCUGUCAGUAAUAAAUUCCACUGAGGCACUGAAUGUGAGACCAAGGUAACGUCAAAAAGAAAAAGCCCCAAAUUAAAAAAAAUAAGAGAAAUUAUUUCCAGGCAAAGGUUUUAGAACUUUCGAAACCAAAUCAGCUUUCUGUGGUUCCAGUUUCUUCAGAAUCUGUGUUUACCCACAGCCUCAAAUAAAUGAGAUGCCAUCGUACCUCUCCUAUUCAGAAGGAAUAUUACCAUCUCACGAUCACUUUUUUUUUUCUGUCCUCCAAUCCCCCGCACACCACCCCACGCUCUUUCGUAAGUGACUGAGUCAGAAAAAAAAUCCCCUCCUUCUUGAUGCGUUUUAUUGCAGUAGGUUCUCUGCCUUCUUCUCAUUGAAGUUUGUAUGAUUAGCUCCCUGGUAACCUGCUCUGGUGUUAUUGAAUGAAGUCUAGCAAACGUGUUAAUUUCAAGGAACUGUUCAAGGGAAAAAAUGCUUAUUGCUUUGGAGGUAAGAACAGCAAAACCCGUCCCUUAUGUCACCUUCCAUUAAGAGCACUCAAAGCAUUCUGAACAUUUGAAGUCAUGAGUCACAUUUUAUAGACAAAGAAACUGGUCUCCAGAGUUGAGGAUGUUUGACUUUUAGUAAAGUAAUUGUGGGGUUCAUGUCUGCUGAGUUUUGGCCUCAUUCCCUCUUUGUUGGAUGAUACCAUUUCCCGUGACAAAUAUACUGGAAGGAACCAUUGUCUAAUGUGCAGAACACCCACUAUUAUCCUUGCAGUGUCCUUUGGACCCUUGCAAGUGGGCAGAGGUAGCUACACCUACUUCCUUCCAGCCACAGGCCUAAACAAAAUGAUGAGGCUUUGUGUCUUCAUGAGAGAGGUCAGAAAGGAGACACUGCUGUAGUGGGAAGGUAAGUAAAGAGGGACCAUCCCAGCAGCCAAGAAUAACUACCACCAAAAGCAAAAGCUGCCUCAGCCUUCCUCCAAUCGCUGGAAGCAAGGGAGGUUGCUAAGUGUCUUCCGGUGUUCAGAGGCUUGCGUAGAAUUCCUCUGCCCAAGCUUUGGUGUUCAUCUCACUGAUAAAGUCUCAUCUGAGGUAAAUCAAAUACAUCAACCCAUAGUGCUAUAUCAGUUUCUGUGCACUCACCACAAAAGGUAUCAAGCUUGGGUUUCAACAUUUUGUUUCUGAAUUUCUAAGGGUACACUCUUACACUUUGUCUCUUCCCUCAAGGAAGAGGAUGGAGUUGCAUGGGGGCUUGCCCACAAGCACAUUUGUCCUGUGAUACAAUUACUUGUUCCUCAACACUUUUAAAGUUUGAAGUAAUGCAUUGCCUACUCUUAGUUUGGAAGCACAGGUGGGCUCUGGCACAAAGGCCUUGGAUCUCUAAUGUAGACAGCUGGGCUGUGGAAUGUAAGUGGGUUGAUAUGGUGGUGCUACUUGGCAGCUCAGACAAGAUGUAUUGCCACCAUAGCUUGGAUACUUCCAUAUACUCCUCUAUUUCCCCAUGAUUUUCAUCUUUUGGUUUUAUGGCCAUGGGCAGACAUGGCCCUGUUUAAACAGCUGACCAUGCACACCAUGAGUGCUCUGCUGUAUUGUUUCAUGGAGACAACCCUUUUUGGAAACAGCACGUUGCUUACUGGUACAGCUGACAGCCCAACAUGUAAAAACUGAACCAAGACUCUUAUUGGAUAUUGUGUUGUGUUUGUUUGUUGCUUUUUAAAAUAAGUUUAGUGAAGGCUAGAAGAAAUGCAGUGCUGCAACUAUUGAUAGCUACAUAAAGCUAUGCACAUUUCAUCGAAUGUGUAUGUGCGUGUGUACAUACAUAUGGGUGCACACACACAGUUAUACCAGUCCUUCCUCCGGUGUUGAAGAUUUGACCUGUUUAAAUUGUAGAAGUUGAUUUGAUUGAUUUUAGUCUUUAAAAUGUACCUCCCCUAAGUCUAUCCCAUGGACUUCUUCCAAAAUGUUUUCAUGCUCUCAUAUGUCAGACAAUUACGAAUUGCCAAGUUUACUCAUAAGUGUAGUGAAACAUCACCUGCAUGUUGGCCUUUAAUGCUAGAGACAGUGUGGCUGGUGAUGAGUUCCCUUUUCUUCAUCUCCCAAAGGCAAAAGAAGAUAAUACACAGUCAGCUAUUAUGAAGCAGGCUUUUUAUAGGGGAUGAUUUCUCUGUGAUGAUUUCUCUGUGAUGAUUUCUCAUCUCAUUGCAUGUGUUUAACUUUCUUUGGGUUGUGAUGCUGAGAGCAGAGUAAUCUCUUGGUUGAUGUAAUGCCAUGGUGCCCUUCUUCAAGAUUGUAAGCAUGAGAACACUUCCACUAUGCUUUCUUUUGAAAGGCUAAAAAAGCAACAUCCAACUUGACUAGUGAGUCAUUUUCUGCCUCCUUGAUCCAACUCAUGAUCUAUUACAUAGGUUUCCAACUUGCUCUACCAUGUUUUGGCUCUUCUGUUGAGCCUUUCUCUCACUGUGGACCUAGGCAAGUAGCAGCUGGCACUUGUUGUUGCCUUGGGAAGGCCCAGGGAGCUGAGAAGUGUGUCUCCUCAUGGGAUUUUAGAGGGAAACUUUGUGCUUUGUGUGUUGAUGCAGGAAAAGAAAGAAAGGCCAAGUGCAAGACAGGUUACACAUCAAGCAGUAUGUGGCCACUGGUGCUGUCAGCAGGAGGAAAAGGUUUGCAUGGAGACUCUAACAAGGAGUAAGGGAUGGAGAGGAAAAUGCUGAAAAUGUUAAAGCAUUGGACUUCUUGUGGUGACCAUUUAGGCAGUUUGAUUUCUGAAGGCAGCAGGAUGUGGCAGUGCAUCUGGCCUCUGCAAGUGAUAUUUCUUGUGAUGCUUCUUGGUUGUCUCUCUCUCCUCUGCGACCAUGGAAGGGUUCAGCACUAUUCAGAGGGCACAGCCCUUCCCUAUGCAGGGGCAUAACAAAAGAUAUUUGGACUUCUGUGGUUACGUGUUGCGGAGAAAUGUCAUGAUGACCUAACAUAAUGAUGCAUGUGGGAUGCAGAGUGAUGUGAUUAUUUCCAGUUGUUCUUGGUUGUCUUUUUUGUCUUGGUGCUUUCCCAGCUGUAGGCUCUACUCUGAAAUUCCCUGGCUCCUGUCUUUGGAUAGAAUCAUAGAAUCAUAGAAUAAUUAGAAUGGCUUGGGUUGGAAGAGACCUCAAGGAUCAUCAAGCUCCAACCCCCCAGGCGCAGGCAGGGCCACCAACCUCCAUAUCUAAUACUAGACUGGCUGCCCAGGGCUCCAUCCAACCUGGCCUUGAACACCUCCAGGGACAGGGCAUCCACAACCUCUCUGGGCAGAAAACCAUGGUGGAGGGUGUCAGUGUCAGGAGCACCAUGUACUACUUUACUAGUAUACAUAGGGACUGACUACCUUGAAUUGUAAAACAAACAAACACAAACCCUGCUAAACAAAACCAUGAAAAAUGCUCAAUACAAAUGGGAUUUCUCUAAAAGGGAGCAAUAAUAAAAGGAGGUUGUAGUGAGGUGGGGGUAGGCCUCCUCUCCCAGAUAACAGAGAUGGGACUAGAGGGAAUGGCCUUAAGUUGUACCAGUGGAGGUUCAGGUUGGAUAUUAGGAGGUUUUUUUUCUCAGAAAGAGCAGGAGAGCAUUGGAACAGACUGCCCAGGAGGUGGUGGAG